AGCCAAAUCCUCCUGAAUCUCUACGUUAAGUCCCUGCACAAACCGCCUUAUCCUCUUCCUUUCAUUGAUUACCAAUUCAGGGGCAUACUUAGAAAACUUAGUAAAUUUCCCUUCGUACUCAGCUACACUAAGGGUCCCUUGUUUCAACUUGAUAAAUUCAUCCUCCCUCUUUUCUUGAAUCAGGGGUGGAAGAAAUUUUUCAUUAAACUCCCCCGUGAAAUUCUCCCAAGUCCAAGGGGUUUGAACUCUCCCCCAUUUUCCUUUUAUCAUGUCCCACCAAGCACGAGCCACUUCCUCAAAUUGGAAAGAGGCAAAAUUCACUUGCCUAUCCUCAGUAUAGUCUAAGGCGGUGAAUAUAUUGGUCAUUCUUUCCAACCAAUUCUCCGCUACCUCAGGAUCAGGUUCACCAAUGAAUUUAGGCAGAUUAAACUUCAAAAAUCUUUCUAAGGCUCGGUCCUCUCCUCUUUCCCGUUCCCCAGGUUGGUUAAGUGGUCCAAGACCUUGCCUAUCAGUUAAGCGUUCUAGGAUGUCAGUCAUUCUAUUGAUGGCAGUGGCCACUUGAUUUUUCUCAAUAUUUUCCUGACCUUGGGUAGGUCCAGUUGCCGAUUCCUGGUCAUCCCCCUGAGAUUGGGUCUGUCUAGUCCCUCGUCCAUGGUCUCAACCACUUCUUAGUCCUUCCAUAACCUAAGCGUGCCUAGUGCAAGAAAUAAAUCAAUUUUGCGAGAAAAUGCUUAAAACAAGAACCAAUCACGAAAGCAUUGAAAAUAACAGUAAUUUACAUUCAUUAUCAUUUAAAAUUCAUACAAUUAGCAAAUCAUGGAAAAAUUACAAAAAUAUAGCACGCAAGAGCUACAGAAGUACUUUUAGUCACAGACGACUAUAGUAAAAGCAAGUGCCACAAAAAUUGGCCACACAGUCAUGCAAAAUACAAUGGCCUCCGCACUUAGUAUCACCCCUGCUAAUCCUAUCUACACCAGUCAAAAGGGUCAAAAGAGUCGAUCACUAGGGAUCUAGUCCACAGCAGGACUACCAGGCGGAAUCUUCUCCUCAGGAUUCUCCUCCGGAUCCUCCUCAGGGUCCUCCUCCUGGAUCGGGCUCUGAACUAUAUCCGACACUCCCUCUAUCAUCUCAGUGGCAUCAGCCAUGAUCCCGGAAACCCGAUCACGGACCUCCUCUCCUAAUCUAGUGAGUCGAGCCCUAGUACUCUGGAGCUCCUCACGAACAAUUGCAGCUGUAGCCACCUCGCCCUGUACUACCUCCUCAAGCUCAGCGAUCCUCUCGCCCUGAGUACUAAUCAUCUGUCUAAACUCGUCCACCUCUGCCUGUAAGUCUAAGUUGGCAGUCACCAACUGACGACGCUCGUCGUCCAAUGCUAGCACAAUGUGGUUCGGGUAGGCAAAUGUCACCCUAAAUGGGCAACGAGGAUAUCUAUCAUAAGGCGUAUAUCGCACACGAGCACCUCCCCUAAUAGUUCGGUAGUAAAUGGGUCUAGAAAGCUCUACAUGACCAUUAGCAUGGCCAUUCUCGUUAGUUGUCGGGGUUCCGUUUCCAUUUUCCAUCCCUGUAAAAUAAUUACACUUUUUGGUUAGAACCUUAAUCGCUAACUCGGACGGAUGUCACUUAAGGUAUGUCCAACUCAGUCACUAGUUCGCCCAAAUAUCACUUAAGGUAUAACUAAGUCGUCCGGUCUCAGAUCUUAAGGGUAGAGUAUCUAGUAUGUCUCCCAUACAGAUCUCUAACCUAGAGCUCUGAUAUCAACUGUGACGUUCUCACUUCUCCCUAAGGCGAACUAGAGGGUAUCCGCGGAACGUCUGCCCAACUCUCGCCAGGACUCAAGCAGUUUCCAUGCAAUCUUAAAGCAAAAUCAUUCAACAACACUAGAUAAGUAAGAAAGUGCGGAAAACUCCCAAACUUAACAAUAUACAUAACGCUUAUCCAAUCAUUACAUUAAAUUCCCCAAAGGUACAUCAUUACCCAAAAUAUACUACAUCCGGGUACAUCAAAUAUCUAAACCAUAUAUUACGUUUUUGAAGUACAACCAGUAAGAGGUCUAGUCCAAAAUAUAUUAAAAUCCUAAGCCAGAAGUGUAUCAAAAGAGUUCCUCCAGGUAUCAUUCCAUGCCCAAUCCUGUUAAGAAAAAUAAAUCUACAGGGUGAGCGAAACGCUCGUGAGACCAAGGACACAUAUGCAAACAAAUAGUUCAAGUAACAAACCCAAUUAACAGGUCAAAUAAUAAAGUACAAGUAAUUGCCAAUUCCAAUGAAUUGUAAACAGAAACAAUUCAAGGAUAUGGUAGCUCUCAGGAGCUAAGUUUCACUUGCAUUGCCAGGGUCAUUCGUAUACCUUCCCGCGAUGACUCUCCGUCAACCGGUGGGUAUUUUCAAUCCGUAUAUCACCACUUACUUCUCUCCAUCCAUCAUUUCACCCUCUCGGAUCCGUAACCAACAGGCAUGUAAAGGCGAUACUAUACAAGUACGCCAAGCAAGAUCUCAAAAGAUCAAGUUUCAGGUCCCAAGAUUUACCAAGUUCUCCCGACCAAGACCUCACGAUUGGCUGCGAGAUUACGAGGUAUAACCAUUGGGUUUUGGGCGUCCCCACAGGUCAGAUUUUCAGAAACAAAUCAAGUUAUAGCCGAUGAGAUUUCUCUGCAUUUGACUUUAGGUCAUGUACAUGUAAAAUCCAGCAAUUUCAUGUAAUUCAUGUAGCAAGUCAUGUAUUGAUCCAAGUAAAAGAGAUAAAGUGCGGUAAAAUACACACUUUCCCCAACAAGUACAGUUCAAGUAACAACAGGUUCAAGUAGAGUUCAUGUAGGUAACAGAUCUCAAGCGAAGUACAAGUAAACAUGCACUUGACACUCACCAAUAUAAGUAAUGAGGAAGAAAUGUCCCUCGGAGCUUUAGGCGUUCACUGUAGGAUCCUCUUGAAGGUUCUCGUGUGCGCCUGAGCAAAUAAUAAUAAACUAUCAUUCACAAAUCCCUACUAUUAAAGAAGAUCGUACCAUAGUACAAUCUUAGAAAGUCUCGUGAAACGAACCUACUUAUCCUAAAUCGAGGCUCUCAAGUGGGGUUUCAAAGUACAGGAGAAAUUUAGUUUUCAUCUUGGAAAUUAAGUAUAAAUCGUUCAAGUAAUAUCGAAAGAAUAAGGAGUGCUUGAAAACUUCAUUUUCUUGGAAUUCGGAAAAUUUCAGUUUUGAUACGAUAAACUAGAAAAAUCGUAUCUCAUGUUUUACAAGUCAAAAAUUGGAAAACUUGGUACCGUUGGAAACCUCUUCCAAGGUAAUAAAAGUUCUUAGAAUACACUUUUCUAAGAUUUCAAAUGAAAAACAUUAAAAAAAUAAGCUCAAAAUCGCUGUUUUGGUUCAUAAGGCAGAUUUAGGUUGGUUUUUGGUCAACUUUAAAAAUUCGGCAAAAUUCACUUGAUUGGAACUAGCUUUUGAAAUUUGGAACACUUUUAGAGUCGCAAUCCAAAUUUACAACAGAACAAGCGGAAUGAGAAACGGAGUUUUGAGUACUAAGAUAUGGUAAGUCAAAGUUACCAAAAUUCCCUUGUGAAACAUGGGUUUUCCAAACUCGAGUCAUGAAUUUUGGUAAUUUAUUUGAGCCAUGAAACGGCCUCGGAAUAACACCAUAAUUAGUAGUGUAAUACUACCAUAUAAGGGUUGUCCCUCUACCUAAUUUCAUGGAAAAAUAACUUCGGAAAGGUAGUCAACCAAACAACCCAAGUUUCGAAGAAUCCUAAGGCAAAACUGUCUUGAGCUUUUUGUUUUCCAUUCCAAACAUUUGGCCAAGGAAAAUCCUUCAAACAUGGUUCAUUGGUGUAUGAAAAGCCUAAGGAACAUUCAUGGUACAUUUGGUAAUUGUUUUAACUCCAAGAAACUCAAUUGGCAAGUCCACACCAAGUCUAGCAUCAAUUUAACCCAAAAUUUAGGGUUUUCAAGAACAGGGCAGGUUUCGUAUUUUGAUCACAAAUCACUCAAUUUAACUCAGAAUUGAGCAUAGUUGGUGGCGUUGGAAAAUACAUUCAUAAAACUAUAAUUUCACAGAAGAAAUCAUUCUGAAAUUCAGCACACAACUAGCUCAAAUUCGAGCCUCAAGUUAUAGCUUCUGAACUUCAUUCCAGGAAAACAGAGAAACAGGACAGUCAUUUUUAAACGGUUGGUACGGGGUACUCGGGUGGAAUUAGGGAUUGAAUUUUAUAUCAAAUGAAAGCUGGAAAUGUCUAGUUUCCAGUGCCAUAAACGGCACUCGAUUCCGACAUCGGAGCCAUGAAUUAUAGCCGAAAGAAGAUGGCUGUCUGGUAGUGACGGGAAUCAUUUUCCAGUUUUGACAUAUUUUCUAAAUCUCAACAUGCACCCACCCAAAUCACGUAAAAUUUUUAGGAAACUUUAAAGACAACCUAUAUUUCACAUUUGCAUCAGAAACAAUUCAAUUGGACUUCAAGAAAGUACACUAAAAUGCACAAAAAUAGCAGGGCAGAAUCGGCACCUUCACAUGCAACUCCUCAUUUGACUUCCUUUUCAUUUUUGCCACUUAACUCUACUAAAUUAGCACUUAAUCAACACAAUUAGCAUUCAAUCCUAUCAAAUCAGAUCAUCAAAGUCAUUGUGGGAUUUUAUAGAUCCCACUUACCAAUUUUUCAACAAUUUAAAGCUGCCCAUGAGAAUCCAAGAGCUCAUGAGUGUAAUCUAUCUUCCAUAAAACAAGAAUUAAGUGGUUAAUCAUUACUUACUUUCUUAGAGAGCCAAGACAGAAAUUUUCGAUCACUUUGAGCUGGAGAAAAACCGUGAGACACAGCUCCUUUCCUAGUUUAUCUUGAUCACCAAGUGAUUUGAGGGUUGCAUGUAAAAUUUGGAAGUGAUUGAGCAAGGAAUUAAGGAGAGAGAGUGGAGGAAUUUUCUGGUCUUGCUCUUCCUUUGUUGCUCGGCUGUUUGUGAGUAUGAGAGGAAGGAAAUGCUAAUGGUAUGAGCUUCUAAGGUAAGUUUAAAACGUGUGGCUCAAUUGUACUCAAAGCUGUCCACUAAAAUAAUGCACGUGCGCGUGCGUUUCGUGCUCGAUUUCUCGCGGGUUUAUUGCACUAGUGCACUAAACCUCUAAUGCACUUACAUUCAUAUUAUUAUUAUUCACUCUUAAUAAUCCCAAAAUAAUGGCCUAAGGUUCCUCAAUUACUCGCGUGCAUAAAAACACGUAUUUCCAAUUUAAGCGCGAGAUAGUGAAAUUUCUAAGAAGUUCUUAUGACGGUAAUAUAACUAAUUAACCUUUGAACACUUAAAUGUAAAAAUACCUAUUUUGAGACUAAUGCACAAGUCUCCAAUUUUUUAAACUUAUUGUAUUCUCGAAUCGAUUAUUUAUUCCAGUCGCGUAUUAACUAUUUUCACUUAACGAGCCUUCAGAAAUUAAAUUUCGAAACGAGUCACUUUAAAAAUAUAACUAAGCUAUGGAUACAUUUAAUUAGGCCUAAAAAGGUUAGAAAAUAAUAAUCGAAGCAUUUGGCCAAAUAAAUAAUUAAAUGAAUUCGAAUUUGGAGUUUAAAUUAAAUAAUUAAUUUUGUUUUGUGAGUCUUUACAGCGAAAACUUCACCAAAUUAAGCAAAAAUUGAAGGCUUAUAAAUGCAACAAAAACUUUUCUCUAAAAAAGGUUACGGUUAUGGGAUGGGAGGAAAUAAUUUAUUGAGAUGAUAGCGUAAUUUUUUCCUCCUUUAAUUCUGCUUAAAAUUAAAAAUAAAUACUAUAUAUAUUGACAAUAUAUACAUUAUCACUGUUGAAUUUAUGGCACAUAUGUAAAAGUUGGAAUUUAAAUUCAAAUUUUGCAUAGUUGUCAUUUAUCCAAAAUUGGCGGUAGAUAUACUGUUAGUGUGGGAAAGAUUAACUCUAAAACUGUUCCCCUGUUAUGAAACAAUUAAAAAUGUGGAUGUCCAUCUGUAUUUUCAAGAGGACUAAUUCAUAAUUCAUUGAUCCCAAGGGGAUUAAUUCAUAAUUCAUUGCUGCAUUAUAUAAAGAGGUUACAAUGGAUGAACGGUUUCAAUCCAUAAAUCCAUUCAUGUAUUGGAAGAACCGUUACAUAGACUAUUCAUGUUCUUAUAGUAAUGAGUGUUUAAUAGAGUUGAUGUACCUUUAAUUUUCUAGUGCCUAUAUAUAGAGGUACCUUGGCACUUCUUGGAUUACUUUUGAGAUUAGUUGGAAUAAUAAGAAAAUCAUUCUCCAUUUCUCUACUCAUUUCUCUAAUAUUUCAAUUCCUAUUAUAGUAUUUUAUUUUAUUAGUUUUAUAACACGUUAUCAAUACGAGUCUCUACUUUUGAGCAAAAGUGAAAUACGAGACUCUAUCGAGAUUCUGCUAGUGUCAAAUCAACAGUUGGAUAUUUUCUCGAGUAAAACUUGUCUACCUAUUGAGGUAAAUUUCUGACCCACAAAUUUAUUUCAAUUUCUUAUGACUAACCUUUGAAUGAUUGUAAAAUAUAAGUGUCUACUGUUGAACAAACAUAUACUCUUUGACAACUUUGAGAUAAUAUUUCUUCUUUUAACUCUACUUAUUUAUCUUUAGAAUUAUUUAUUAUAGAUACUUAUAUUCUGAUGCAAUGAAUUUUGGAGAUGCUAUUAUAGAAAUCAAUUAUGUUUGAAGAUCCACUCAUUCUUUGAAAUACUUUAAGAAAAAAAUUCGACCACCUGAAGAUGGUCAUUCUUUAACGAAAAGAUUUGGCCACUGGAAGAUGGUUAUUAUUUCAAAAUAUGGUAUGAUAAAUUUACUUAUGGCUGCAAGUACACAAUUCUGCUUUAUUUAGAAUUAUUUCAUAGUUGAAAAUAAUAUUCUCUACAUAUUUCUCGAAUAUGCUCCUGUAGUAGCAAUAUUGAGAGAAAAUUUGAGAAAUAUUCUGUACUUAUUGCAUGCUAGAUCUAAUCCAUUCCUAAAAGUGAAUGCGACUAAAUUUCAAUAUGACCAUGUUUUUGGUAAAUAUGUAUUUUACCAUGACAAGAGAAAAAGUCACCAUUUAAAAUGGGACAAUAAUGAUAAGAAAAGAAAGUAAGGAUCCUGAAAAUAAAUGUCUCGAAGUAUAUUUGACAAAUCAAAAUUAUAAUAGCAUCUUCACAUGGCCAAUUUUUUUAAACGCUCUGAAAGUGUAUAAUGAUUGAUUUAAUUUAUGAUAGUAAUUAACUUUUCUUCCUGAAAAAUAAAUGGAUGUUAAACAUUUGGAAUCAAAGGGUUAUGGUGAUGAUAUUUGUCUCAUAAGAAUUAUGGUGACAAUGAUAUGUGCCUCAUUAAUAAAUGCUACUAUAUACAUUAUUUUCCAACAAAAGAGACAAACACAAUCAGUAGUAGUGCUUUAAUGAUUGAAAACUCCAGAAGAACCACUGCUAUAUUUCUCCAUGUAGGAGAAAAGUUUAUGAUAAAUAAAACACUACUUUUUAUCAUGUUUCGAAUAAUUUAUUGAAUUUGAAUAUCCAUCGAAAUGGAUAUCAAAUUGAGAUACUAAAUGAGACAAUAAUAAAGAUCAUUUUUAGAAUCAAGUGAGAUAAAAGUUAAUUAUAUCAUAAUAAUCAUUCGAAAGAGAAAUGGUUAUCGAUAUAGUUGCCUUCAUUCUCAUUUGAUUUAUAAUCAUCACCUACAGUAAAUCAGAAAUUUACUGAUCCCAAUGGAUAUAUGAUUUGACAAAAGUGAGAAUAUUUGAGAGCCGACAAGAAUUUAUACAUACCCACUUUAUAUUAUAUAUGGCUUCAAAAAAAUUUAAAAUUUAAGUCGGGUAUGAAUCACCUUUUACGAUUAAAUAUCAUAAAAUAUUAAUGAGUGAUCUAUUAAAUGAUUUAUUUAUUCUGAUGAGCUACGACUCUCGACAUUAGGGGGAGGAAAAAAUCAACCGAAAGGAAAUCAUCUGAAAAAUUGAAUUUUCUCGAUUCUCAUACAAAAUAAUGUGAACUAGAAGUUCAAGAAAAUUUUCAUUUGUUGAAAGUUACAAAUCAAUUGUCAGAUAUAUUUAUCGACUUCAGAAGAGUCAUUAAAUCAACUAUUCCUGCAGGAAAUACUGUGGUUAAAAUUGAUAUCCCUGAAGGAUAUGUACAAGUGCUACAAAUAAAUUUAAGGUCGGCCUACCUAAAUAAGGUAUAAAUUGAUUUCAAAUAUUUUCGGAAAUUAAAUAAAUGUCAUGACAAAAUUCAAUCUCUUAAAAAGAUUGCUCCUAAAGAGCCAACUCCCGAAGAGAAUGAAAUUAUAGAAAAUUUAAUUGGAUCCUAAUGAAAUGUAAUACUUGAUAUUAUAGAAGUUGAUGAGAAUCAUGAAUCUAGAUCGGUUGAUAAAUGUCGGUAUAGAAAUGAUUGGCCAAAAUGAAAAGAUGCGAUUUAAUCUGAAUUAGAUUUAUUGGUUAAAAGAAAAGUUUUUGGACUUAUAAUUCAAACACCUGAAGGUGUAAAACCAGUAGCUCAAGAAUUUUUACAAAGGCUUGUAUUUGAUUAUGAUGAAACGUAUUUACCUGUAGUGGAUGCUAUCACAUUUCGAUAUUCUGUGAGUUUUGUAGUACAUGUAAAACUAGAUAUGCGUCUAAUGGACGUCGUUACUGUAUAUUAAUAUAAAAAUCUUGAAAAUGAUAUUUAUAUGAGAAUUUCCGAAAGAUUCAACAUGCAUGAAACAUGCAAAUCAAAUUCUAAAAAUAUUUAUUCUAUUAAAUUACAAAGGUCUUUGUAUGGAUUUAAACAAUCUGGACGUAUGUGGUAUAACCGCCUCAAUGAAUUUUUAACUAAAGAAGAUUAUACAAAUGAUCCAAUAUGUCCAUGUAUUUUUAUCAAAAAAAAUGGAUCAAAUUUUGUGAUAAUUACUAUAUAUGUUGAUGAUCUAAAUCUGAUUAGAACUCCUGAAGAGAUUCAAAAUAGUGUUGAAUAUUUGAAGAAAAAAUUUGAGAUAAAAAAUUUUGGAUAAACAAAAUUCUGUCUUAGUUUACAAAUUGAGCAUUUGAAAAGUGAAAUUUUUGUCCACUAAACUGCUUAUACCCGGAAGGUAUUAAAGCGGUUUUAUAUGGAUAAGGCACAUACAUUAAGUGCCCCAAUGAUCGUCAAAUCAUUAGAUCCUAAUAAGGAUCCUUUUAGACUACGAGAGAAAGAUGAAGAAAUACUUGGUCCUGAAGUACCAUAUCUCAGUACAAUUGGUGCACUAAUGUAUCUUGCUAAUUGUACAAGACCUGAUAUAUCAUUUGCAAUGAAUUUAUUAGCAAAAUUUAGUUUCUUGCCCACAAGACGACAUUGGAAUGGUAUUAAACAUAUUUUUCACUAUCUCCAAGGAACAAUUGAUCUUGGUUUAUUUUAUUCAACUAAAUCCAAACCUGAAUUACUUGGUUAUGCUGAUGCUGGAUAUUUAUCUGACUUGCAUAAAGUAAGAUCUCAAAAUGGUUAUCUAUUUACAUAUGGAGGUACAACUAUUUCGUGGCGAUCUACAAAACAAUAAUUAACCACAAUUCCAUCGAAUCAUGCUGAAAUAAUAGCAAUUCAUGAGGCCAAUCAAGAAUGUGUUUGGUUAAGAUCAAUGAUCCGCUACAUCCGGAAGAGUUGUGGGUUAUCCUCCAAAAAAGAAAAUUCUCCAACUAUAUUAUAUGAAAAUAAUGCAACUUGUAUAGUUCAAUUGAAAGGAGAAUAUAUUAAAGGAGAUAGGACGAAACAUAUUUCACCAAAAUUCUUUUUUACUCAUGAUUUGCAAAAGAAUGGUGAAAUUGAUGUGCAACAAAUCUUAUCAGAUAAUAAUUUGACAGAUUUAUUUACCAAAACAUUGCCGACUCCAACAUUUGAGAAAUUAGUAAAAAAUAUUGAAAUGCGACGAUUAAAAGAUCUCAAAUGAUGUUUGUAUCAGGGAAAGAAAUUAAUACACAGGAAUAGUGUACUAUUUUUCCUUCACUAGGAUUUUUAUCCAAAUGGAUUUUUUCCUAGUAAGGUUUUAACGAGGCAUAUUCUUUGUGUAAUAGACAUCCAAAGGGGAGUGUUAUGAAACAAUUAAAAGUGUGGAUGUCCAUUUGUAUUCUCAAGAGAACUAAUUCAUAAUUCAUUGAUUCCAAAGGAAUUAAUUCAUAAUUCAUUGCUACAUUAUAUAAAGGGUUACAAUGGAUGAACGGUUUCAAUCCAUAAAUCCACUCAUGUAUUGGAAGAACUAUUUCAUAGAUUAUUCAUGUUCUUGUAGUAAUGAGCGUUUAAUAAAGUUGAUGUACCUUUAAUUUUAUAGUGCCUAUAUAUAGAGGUACCUUGGCACCUCUUGGGAUUACUUUUGAUAUUAGUUGAAAUAAUAAGAAAAUCAUUCUCCAUUUCUCUACUCAUUUCUCUAAUAUUUCAAUUCCUAUUAUAGUAUUUUAUUUUAUUAGUUUUAAAGCAUCCCCUCUAUUUUGACCUUUCUUUAUCCUUCCCUUAUUUGUCAUAAGCAAAAAGAUAUGCACGAGAUUCAUACUAGUGAUAGAUAUCGCUGGGGAUAAUGUAUUACUUAAGAAUGGUAAGAAAUCAUCUUAUUAAUUGCACCAAAUGCGAAAUUUUUUUUGCUGUAUACUGAAAAAUAUACAUUUAAUACCAUAAAUUAAGUCGAAUCAAACUUGCUAUUAAUUUUCCAUGGAAACACACACAUGAAAUCCAAUAUAAAUUCCUCUCAAUCCAACCCCUAAAACUCAACUUCCUUCUACCUUCAAUUUCACCAUGGCCAAAUCCUCCCUCCUAACCAUAGCAUCCCUUAUCCUGAUUUUUGCUAUUUGGUCCAACUUAGGUGUAGCUGUGCCUGUGCAGAUCGCAGAAACUGGGAAUGCAUCUCCAGAAAAAAUCAGACUCUCCCACCUAAGUCAUCCAAACCCGAACGAGUCCACUAGUAAUGUUACUGCCAUAAGUAAAACUUUCAACCCUCUAGCAGACAUCAACAAAUUUAGGCUUUGUCCAUGUCUUUAUAUAUACUGCUUGUGUAUGUGUCCCUGCCAAGCUUGUAAUUGCUGAUAGGUUGAAUGUAAUCCACCAUCCAAUUUAUCUUCUAAUGAUGUGGCUGAGUUUGUGUAUGUGCUGUCUGCUUGCACCUUAUUAUUAUGGUCUGUAUCACAGCUAAAUUAAGGAUAGUUAGCAGUAUUUGCUAACUAAUAAAACUGCUCAUUUAGUUUACAAAUUUUCAGUUUUGAUGUUUUAUGUGACUUGUAGUGCCUCUUUUGCAUGAACAAGUUUAAACCCAUUGCUUUUCUUAUUGUUUCCCCUCAACAUUCAAAGUUCAUCUCAAGGCAAAGUAUAAAAAAGGAAAAUUUACAACAGACGAUUUUGUCAAAUGUUGUCAACAAAUUAAAAAUAAGAACAUAAAUAAAUCAGGUGCCCUUCAUUUUCUAUGGAUAGAACGUACUCUAAUGCCUUGUAGACGAUUUCAAACUAUCAAAAUCAAAACUGCCGCUCGGCCUUUGCAGUCUCGUUAUUGGCAAAUAAAUGAAGCUAAUAGGCGUGGAUUGUGUUGGAUUAGAUGGUAAGGUGAGAGAUUGUAAAUAGGAGAUCCUGAGUUCAAAACCUUUCAUAUACAAAAUUUUAAAAAAAAAAACUUUUCUUUUAGUGUUUGUGGGAGGUCUUGAAUCUGAGACCACUCAUUUACACUCUCUCCCCCUAAAAGAAGCUUAUAAAUAAUCCAGCUUUUUUAUUAAUUUCCCUAUCAAGGGCUUCUAAUAAUAUAUAAAAGGUGGUGUUUAAUUACAUCUUCUAGUUUAGAGAAAUUUAGAGCUGUAAAUGAGUCAAAUCGAAUAGAGUAUCUCAUGUUUGAGCUCUAUUCAUUGAGUGAUUCGAACAACAUUCGUGUUCAUUCGUUAAUUUUCAAACUCCAAACCUGUAUUCGUGUUCGGCUCGUUAAGCAAAGUUCAUGUUCGAGUUCGAGUUCGAGUUCGUGUUCGACUCGUUUAACAUAAACGAGCCGUUCGCGAACAUGCUUGAAAUGCUCGAAUCCAAAUUAUUUUAAACCUUAAAUAUGCCAUACAAAUCAUUAAUCAUUCUCAAAAACAAUUAAAGCACUAAGUGACUAAAUUCUAUUAGUCAUUAACUAUAUAACUAACAUUAACAUAAAAACAACAAAUAAAACAAAGCAAUUUGCCCUCCAAAUAUAAAAGUCUAGCCAUAAAAUUAACCCUAAAAUUUGUCAAAUGAUAAUUAUGUCCAUGUUUGUGAACGUUCGUUAAAACUCGCGAACAUGCUCGUGUUCAGUCGAUUAUUAAUCGAACAAAAAAAUUCGUUUGAAUUAGGUUCGUUUAAGGUUUCGAACGAGUCUUUCACGAACACAAACGAAUCGAAACGAACCGAGCUACCAAACAGCUCGGUUCGUUUAACAGCCCUAGAAAUUUACUCAUAAUCCAUGUGCUAAGGAACCGCAUACGUGUUGAGAACUUUUUUGGCUUGGUUCAUUCCAUUUCAAAUUCCAAACUAGGGCUUUGCAUGGCCAUUGUUAUUUUAAAAGUUGUCAGAGAUUCCCUUACUAAUGGCCUUUUUUUUUUUAAAUAAGUGAGAGGUCUUAAAUUUAUCACCUUCUACUUACAAUCUCUACUUUCUUACCGUUCAAGCCGACCCUCCUAAAACUCGUAAGUGGCAUUCUUAAGCUGUCAAAGAUUCCCUUACUACAAUUAAAACUUCUAAGUGCCAUUCUAAAUGUUGAAAUAUACAAAUCGCCUCUAGCAAGGAAAAGUAUUAAAAGGAGGAAAAAGGAAAAAACUCUCCAAUUCUGAAAAAAGAUGAGGUGAAAAUAACACAUAAAAAUGUGUUCCGUUUUUCAUAAAGUAAAAUGAAAUCAUCUCUCUUUUUAUUUCUCAAUUCUCAUUACAAUUACAUCAAAAAAUUAUAUAUCGAGCUACAAUCAUUUUGAUUGAAUUGGUAGACCUAAAUGUAAAGGUAAAAAAAUUAAAAAAAACUAGGUCUAAAUCCACAUCCCUUUCUAAACAAGAAGAAGCAUAUAUGGUUUCUCGAUAGGGGUGUCAAUUGGGUUUUUUAAGUUGGGAUUUAGCAAGUCUAAGUUCGACUCACAAAUUAUAUGAAAUUUUGGAUUUCGGUUUUUCGAGUUUCAGGAUCAUAUUAAAAGGUUCAAAUUCAACAAACACUAUUAUAUGAGUUUCGAACUCAAAUCGGGUUUAGCCCAAACUUAUAUUUAAAUACAUAAUUAUAUAUAUAAUAUAUAUUUUAUAAUUAUGAAUUAAUACAAAUUUACAUAAAUUAUUAACAUUUUAUGUCAUAAUAUGUAUAACUAUAAAUUAUAGAUAUUAUUAUAUAUAUAAUUAUACUCAUAUAUGGGCCGAGCUUUAAUUGGGUCUGACCCUAGUGUAGACCAAAUUCGACCCAUAUUUAGUUUGGGUCUAAUAUUAGGUCCAAAUUCUAUCCGACCCAAUUAAAGAUUAGGCUCAAAGACUUUUUUGGGCCAAAACGAACCGAUCUUGAGUUGGCCCGACUCAAUCGACAGUCCUAUUUCUUGAAUUCUCAUAUUUUCUCUCGUAUUUUUGACUACUAUCAAAAAACCCAUUUAACAACUCUUACUCAAAAUUAACAACUUUACACUAUCAUGAAAUUGAUUGAUGUCGCUUAAUCUAUUAUCAUAGCGGAAGGGAAAGGUUUAUAUGUAAACAAAUUAUGUCAUUUAACGUAUCGCUUAAUUUACCCUUAUUUUUAAAGACAAUUACAUUAUUUUAACUAUUUACCUCCCUGCAACUAUUCCACAUCUUGAAUUAACUACUAUUUCCCGAACAAAAAACUAUCACUUCUCUAAAAUACCAAAACAAUCAAACUAUUUUAAACUACUACUUUCCAACAAAAAAAAAUAACACUAAUCUUUUUUUGAUAUCUUUUGAAUUGCACACAUAUCGGAUAUGGUUCAACCACUGGUAUAAAUAAUGAACUCCAUAUUAAAUGGCACUCAAAAUUUUUUUGCAUAGUAAAUAUCAGAAUAAAAAUGAGAAACUAAUUGAUAGUUUGCUUUCUCAUUGGGUCUAUGGUUGCAACUGACUACAUUAAUCUUGAACUGGACUGGACUUGACGCAGUUAACCGCCUCUUUGUCUGCAAUUGUUAGGGGCCCAAAUCCAGUUAAUUACUGCCUAUUUUCUCUGCUCCUUUAUCCUUAUGCCUUGACUUUUUUUAAAAAAAAUUAAUUGAUUAUUCCUUACUUGAACAGGAAAUCCAAAAGAUUCUUGACUUUCCACGGAUCAUUCAGACACGUUGCGGAAGUCUUCAAGUCCCUCUCUACCUCUUGGAUUCCCCCUGUGGAAUCAACCCCUGCGAAAAUUUAGCAGAUUUUGUAGGUAGUGCUAGCAGAAGAAUUUUCUGAUCACGUCAAAGUUUCUGAUUUUAAGAAAAGCCCAGAUCAAUAGAAGCAAAACCCAAGUAGCAUGACGAUUCUGGAGAAAAAAAGAGUUCAUUUUCUGCUCUUCUUGGUUGGCGUCAUUGCUCUCAGUAUCGGUGGUAAUAUUUUUACUACCAUUAUCCACAUCUCCAACAAGAUACCAGUUUUUCAGUUUUCAUUUCAGUUUUUUUUUUUAAAAUUUAAUAGUUACCAUGCUGAAAGAAAGGUAAAAAAAUUGUCUUGGGAUUAAAAAGUGCAGUUGCGAAUUUGCUGUUUACCUUGCUAAUCAAAUGUUUAUUGGCCAUUAAUUUGCACAUAUACUGAUCUUGAAUGGAGUGGCCUUUGUGACUAGUAAUUGUUGGCCUAUUGGCAUAUUUAUGUUCUUUUUUAAUCUUUAUAGUCAUUAAAUUCUUGCUUUGGAAUUAUAUUGUCUUUGGAGAAAUCAUAUAGCGUGCAUUUAGUUUUGUAAAAUGAAUGAUAUUAUAUGACUGAUCUAUUUAGUUAUGUUGAAACUGAUGUAGUAUUUAAUUUGUGCUUCUAGUAGUAAUCUACCACCUGAUUUUGUUUUUUUGCCUCCUAAGUACGGGGCCUCGGUAUUUAGUUAAGUGAAGACUAGACUGUUUGAUUAGAAUGAGUUACUCCAUUUUUAUGGUAUUUGUGCUUGUGAAUAUUUCUCACAUUUUUAGGUUUCUAGAAAUUGGUUGAUGUGGUCUUCAUGGUGAUAAAAAUAGUUGAUGGGUGGUACCAUGUUUAGGUCUGUUGUGCCAUGCCUUCGCCCACCCCCUUCUUUUGGGGGUAUUUGUGUGUGUGUGUUUUUUUUUUUUUUUUGGGGGGGGGGGGGGUGGUGUUGUGGAAUUUAGACAGCCUUAGUGUGUGGUUUGAUGAAAUAAGUUUACUUGGAGCUUACAUUGAAAGCUCAAAAUCUGGUAGCAAGUGUAAGUGCUUACACUUGAUAAAUAGAAGAGUUCAUAUUUCAUAUCACUUUUGAGAGUUUCUCUAUUGAUAACUAAAGAUCCUUAUAUAGAUAAUGAUUUAUGAUUAGUACAUAAGUAGUGUUCAUGAAAGUAAUAGAAAUUGAUGUCCAUCUUAUAUCAUGGAACUUUACGGCACAGGAAUUCCUGUUAUCUUACAUGCUUCAGUUUUGAAGAGCAUAUUCUAAAGGUGCUUAAAGUAUGAAUGGACUUAUUAAACAUCUCCUGCCACCACAAUGCGCAGUUUACCACUCCAUAUCUGUCUACUUAUAGUGGUUUAGCAUUAUCUGAGAAGCUUUGUAUCUAAACUGGAGCUGCUGAUUAAAUGUCUAAAAAACUAACAGCAGUCUAGAGAUAUUUACCCAUCUUUCUAUCCUUUAAUGUGGUAUAUCCCACAAUCAUGUGUAUAAAGUGAUUGCACUUUUGCUCGGAGGUUUUUCUUCUCAAGUCACAUUUUCUUCUUUUUUGCAUCCAUUUAUCGUAUUUUUUGCUUUUCUUUCAUGGUUCUUUCUUGUGGGUACUCCUGCAGCUGUCUUUUUGUUGGCAUUUGCCGUAACAUUCUUCAAUAAAAAGGAAUAGGAAAACCGUGGCAAUUUGAAGAUUCUGGACAUCAGCAUAUGAAGAACUAUUUAAACUUAAACUUGACACAAGUUUUGGAAACAUAUUCUUCAUGUGAAUGCUAGUUAGACAUACAAAUUUCAAUUAUGUGCCAUCUUUAUUUGUGACGACAGACAUAGAUGCAGGUCUUCCCACUGUCUGUCACUAAUACCAUCGUAAGAAAAAGCCACCAUCAAUGAUGUCCAUUAGUCUUAGCUUCAAAUGUUACAGACAUACGUGUCACACAAGCAGAGAGAGACAUAAAGCUGACUUGAGAUUCUUAUUUUUUGUCGGAGCACUUGUCUUCGAUUCGAACAAGAUUGAAUUGAAACUUUAAUAAAUGCUUGAAACUGUCUUUUUGCAUCCAUUUAUCAUAUUUUUUGCUUUUGCUCGGUGGUUUUACUUCUCAAUUCACAUUUUCUGCUUUUUUGCAUCCAUUUAUCAAAUUUUUCGCUUUUCUUGCAUGGUUCUUUCUUGUGGGUACUCCUCCAGCUGUCUCUUUGUUGGCAUUUGAAGAUUUUGUACAUCAGCAUAUGAAGAACUAUUUAGACUUAGUUAUUUACUCCAAGAAACUUGAUGUGAGUUUUGGAAACACAUUCUUCAUGUGAAUGUUAGUUAGACAUGCACAUUUGAAUUAUAUGCCAUCUAUAUUUGUGAUGACAGACAUAGGUGCAGGUCUUCCUACUGUCUGUCACUAAUACCAUCGUAAGAAAAAUCCACCAUCAGUGAUGUCCAUUAGUCUUAGUUUCAAACUUUACAGACAAACAUGCCAGACAAACAGAGACAUAAAGGUAACUUGAGUUUCUUAUUUUUUGACAGAGCACUUGUGUUCAAAGAAGAUUGAAUUUAAACUUUAAUAAAUGCUUGAAACUGUACAUUAACAUAAAUACAUACUUCGGUGUUAUUAGCUAGAUUAUUGAGUCAUUUGUUUCGUAAACUCUUGUUUUCCUUUCCAAUUCUAUUAUUUCCAAAAAUGUUCUUAAUGAUGUGCUGUUUUGCAGCUGAAAAAUGCCGUGAGCUGGUUGGUCAAGAAGCUGCUUCCAAGAGUGGGGAGUUUACCUUCUUGAAUUGUUUUGAUGGGAGCACUGGAACCCUUGCAUGUUUAGUAAAGGAGGGUGUGAAGCUCUACUCUUACAACGUCAGAUCUCUUCAUGUUGAAAGAGCAAGGAAUCAAGCAAUUGAGAGUGCUCUAGGUGACGCGCUCGCACAAGGUCUGGUUGCCAAAGACGCAGCCAAGCUUGUCCAGAAAGAGGGAGCUAAAGCUGCAAAACUGGCAACUCGACAAGCAAAGCGCAUAAUAGGUCCUAUAAUUUCUUCAGGAUGGGAUUUUUUUGAAGCGCUUUACUUCGGCGGUACCAUGACGGAAGGAUUCCUCAGGGGCACUGGAACCUUGUUUGGCACCUAUUCAGUUGGCUUUAUUGGAGAGGAGAGGUUCGGGAGGUUUGGCUAUCUUGUAGGAAGCCAUUUGGGUAGUUGGGUUGGGGGAAGGAUUGGGUUGAUGGUGUACGAUGUUGUCAAUGGAGUGCACUACUUGCUUCAGGUGUCUCAGUUCGUGGAAAAUAAAAUUAUUGAUCAUACUGCCGACGAAGUUUACCAGAGUGCUGCUUUUGGCAGUUCUGAAGCUCCCGAAGAAUCACUUGUUUCUGAAACACCAACAGAUGAGGACUCUCGAAUCAGUUUUGAAGCAGCAGAAGAAUCAUCAAUUUCAGAAACACCAACAUAUAUGAGCUCUGAAGCUACAGAAGACUCCAAUGUAUACGAGGCUUCUGAUCAUGGGAACUUGGAAUUUCAUGAAGAUUUAUGAUGUAGGUUAAUGCAAAACCAUACAAACAUAUUUGGCCGUCUGGAAGUGGCAAUGUUCGUCAGUUGUAGAUGCAAGCACAUUGUUUUCCAUUCUUGUUUGUACAGAAAUCAACUUAGUGUAAUAUGUUCCAGGUUUUAAUUUUGGGGUAAUUUCAUGUGGAGGAUGCCAUCCUGCAUAGCAAGAAAAACAGAGGAAUGAUUUGUAUUUACCCUGUAGACUGGGUUUAAAUAGUAUGGAUUGCAUGUUUUAGUUGUAUCUGAUAACAGAAAAACAUCAAUAAUAUUUGAGAUCUAAUUAUUAAGUGCUAAUGGAUUUUAAUUAGGUUGUACAGUUAACCUUGACCCUAUGUGUCAGAACAUGAAGGUGUAUGUAUGUUUUUGGAAUUCUUGUUAGUUCUUUGACGUCUACAAGCAAAUGGGCAACUAAUUGGACCUGUUUGGUGAGCAUGGAAUGUCUGGUUCCUGGUCUAGGAACAUUUACAAAUACAUGCACUUCUUUAGCUAUUGGUUCAAAAAUUUUUCUUUAUGAUGUGGACUUCCAGUACCCUGUUGGAUUGGUGCCUGAGAAUGCGUUGGGUUUGGAUUCUGGCCUCACAUUAACCAUGAUGAACUCUUCCUUGACAGAACUGCAGUUACAAAUUCGUUGUGAUUGAGGAGGUAUUCUCACUAGAUCAAGAAACCAUAAAAGCAUAGCUUGGCUGCUUUGCAGAUUUUCGCGAUUGCUCCUUGUUGCUACUGACGGUGCUAUGUUAAGUACUCACUCAGAAUUUGUGCAGCUAAAUUGACAUAGAAAAGUUGCCUGUUAGUAACAUAAGUCUUGGAUGAUUUCUUUUUAACUUGAAGGUGUUUGCUGUUGUUUCAACUUCGAAAAGAUUGCCAAGCAAAGAAUGACUUGUAAAUAAAGGAAAACUGUCAUGGACUAAAUUAGAAGGUUGCUAAACACUUUCAGAUGGAACAACAUGAUUCAAGCUUAAGUUCAAUUGGCAUAAUUUAUCUUUUUCAUUUUCCCUCAUCCCCUCUUUUCUUUUAAGGAGAAUGCCAAGGAUUGAAAACUUGCUAGUGUAUAGAUUGAACCUCCCAAAAUCACUGCUCUAAUUGUGAAAUGUCUUUAUUCUUGACUGCAUCAGUGCCAAUCACUGCUGGAAAUUGCUUGAACGAAAUGAGCAGCACUCAACAUGAUCCCCUCAACUGUAGCGAAGCAAACAAGAAAUGCCAACAGAAGAACACUUCCCAUGUCAGUGAUCCCGAAACACCACCAUUGCUACUGUGCAGUGAAUUUCUUAGAACAAGGAUGAUGAAUGGAGACAUAUUGGUAGGCAGACACGUCUGAACUGCUGAAAAGAACAGGUAUGAUCUGAAAAAUUUUGCUUAUCGGAUUCAACAGGACACCUGUUGUCGUGCUGUGGUAGCCACCCUUCUGUACAUCUUUUUAGAUGGCCGUGAUGAAUUUGACUUCACUGAAAGCAACAUGCAAUAAAUGGCGGAUGGCCCCCCAAUCUAAUGCUUUUGAAUGGUGUGCCCUGAUAACUGCACCAUAAUUUUCUUGAAUUAGACUUGGGCUAAUGCCUAAUAGUCGAGUUGUGCCUUUCAGCCGCUAGCUAGCUAAGGCAAGUUGCUUCCUGACGGAAAAGGGGCCAGUUAAUGGCCAAGAUUUGGCCAACAAAAUUUGUAUGGUCCAGAUUUAAAUAUGCGUGGGACCCAUAAAAUGUUGUUCUAGUGUUACUCGCUGUUGUUCUAGUGUUAUAUCGUGUACAAAUGAUGUUACAUCGUAUGCAUUUUGCACACAAGCUUCCGGAACGGUUGCACUGACAACCGUUCCAGCCCCGGGUCCCUUGCUGACGAGUGAAACCAGCAACCUAAUAAUUUGGCCUAUUUCUGCCUCUUAUCAAGCUUUUGUAGGGGCUAAAACGUACAUAUAGCGAAAAUAUAUUUGACACAUAAAAAUAUGCAGAAGAAAGAAGAGAAGUUUGAUAAUCGCAGACGCAUGAAAGCAAAGUUUUGCUUCUUUUCCACUGAAAACAACAAGCAAUAAAAGGCGGAUGGCCACAGUCAAACGUUCUGAUUGAUGUGCCUGAUAAUUGUCCAAAAAGUUCGACACAAUUUCGCCUUCAAAUUUUCUUGAAUCAGACUUGGGCUAAAGCCUAAUAGGCGAGUGGUGCCUUUCAGUCGCUAUAUAGCUCGGCAAGUUCAAGUUGCAUGAUUACAAGGGGAACUCAUAAUUGGACCUAUUUGAUAUAUAUAUAUAUAUAUAUAUAUAUAUAUAUAUAUAUAUAUAUAUAUAUACAUAUGUAUAUAUGUGUGUGUGAAAAAAGAGGAGUUUGAUAAUCAUAAAUACAUAAAGUACACUGAGAUUAUUUUUACAGCAAUCAGAACUCUGUAAAAAAUUUUCGCCCAUUGUUCUCAACUGAAUAUAAUACUAACACACUCCCAUGACUUGGUAAUUAGGAAGCUACUAAGAAAUGAAAUUAUCAAAUAACUCUUCUAUAUCUUAAACAAGUAAGCUGUUAAAAUUGGACUAUACUUGAACGUCUAAUUUUAAAAGAAGAAACAACAACUAUUAGGAAGCUUGGAUUAAUUAUCCUAACAAUUUCAUUUCAUGGAAAAAUGCAAAUGCAAGGAGGAGGAUGCAAAGAAGUAAUGGCACUAAUGUCCUAGCGACUGCUUAUAUUUUGUCUUAGAUAAUUUGUUCUAUAUUCUGAUUAAGUUUUUAACGUAAUCAAUUGUUAUUCAUCAUACGUGGCUUUUGCUUACCAGUUGAGAUUUUGGAGAGUUGAUUGAAGAUUGCGUGUUUAUGCACAAAAAUCUAUGGAGAAUCAGAGGAUAUUAGUAUAUGUUGUUUGAUUUUUUUAAUUAGGAACGUUUUUGGUCAACUUAUUGUUCAAUUGGCAUUUACUCAAGAAUGAAUUGUUUGAGUUUGAACGUAAUUAAUUGGCUUGCUUGCUAAACCCAUGUCAUUCUAAUUGUUUCGAACGGUGCAUUGGCGGAAGUAAGGUUAAGGAGAAGAUGUGCAAAAGUACUCUUGUAUAUUUUAAAAACUUUGGUAGGUAAAUUGAAAUUUAACCGAGACCCAAGAUAUUUAGAUAGAGUUUAGAAUUAGUUUCUCAAACUUAGACCCUACUCAAAUCAAGACUCUAUAAGAUAUUCAUACCCAAACCAAUACACGUAUCAAACCCUACCCAGAUUCACAUAUGUGUAUAGAUAUGCACACAUACACACACAUGUAUAUUAGUAAAUUUAUAAAAUAAUCUAAUAUUUUAUGGUUAUUGGAUCGAAUAUAGUAAAGUUUCAUGAUUGUUUUCAGUUUUCAAGUUAAUCCUAGUUGUUAUUGUAAUUGAUACAAAUUUUUUUAGAAAAAGGAGAAAAGUAAAGCAAACAAAUAAAAGAUUGGGCGUGGUUACAAUUGAAACUUUAAAAAUAAAUAGAACUAUUCGAUAAUAGUUUUUUUUUGAGUUCAUAAUAGUUUCUUGAAUAUUAAUUUUAUUAUUUGAAAAUAAAAAUUGAAUGCUAUUUAUAUUAUUGUUGAACUACAUAUUUUAAAUAUAUUUUUACUUUAGUAUUUCAAAAAAUAUAACGGAUAUCCAUUGGAUAUCCAAAUCGAUGAGGAUAUAGGUCUAGACUUACUUUUUCAGAUCUAUAACAGUUAGUUUUGAGCAUAGAUCUAUCUAAAUUUAAUGGGUUUGGAUCUAAAUCAAAAGAUCUGACCUACAUCCUACCCAUUGACAUGUCUAGUCAAUGGUACGGUGGAUGUACAUGAAAAAUCAAGACGAUUAAGAGAUUCGGGAGAAAAAAUGGAAAAGAUGAAAACAAAACAAAAGAAAAAAAGGCACUUAAUGGAACCAAACCAAGUGAUUUAAAGCUUUCCAGGAGGUCUUGAUUUAGUUGUUAAAAUUAACAAAUCUAGAAUUAAAAAUUUUAGAUUCAAAUAUUUCAUUUUUUUCCUCUCCACUUCUUAAAUCUCUCCAUUUCCUGGUUAAAAAAAAGGUGAUCUAAAGCUGAUACAACGGGUUGAUUGUAUUGCAACCCCUUCUCAUAAACUUGCUGCAAACUAUGUGGCUAUUGGCGCCAUUGAUUGAAUAAAACUUUGAGAACAUCAAGGGACUAGCCUGCAAGAGCUCACAUAGGGACAGUAGACAGAUGCAUGUUCUGAUUUGCUUUCAAAAGUUAAUACAUAGGGACCAUUGAUUUUGCUCUGUUCUAAGCCGAACAAUUCACAUAAAGGUUUCUAACUGUCAACACUUUUUUUUUUUUGGUGACUUAUAAAGAACAUAUAGUCAUUAUGGUGACUUUAAGGCUUUACCUGAAGACUUCCAGAUUCUGUAUUUUUGAUUAUGUAAAAGUUUCCAAACAAUUUCUUGGAGAGAUUUCUUUGUUGUAAUAAUUUCAGAACGAUCGAUGAAGAGACAAUUCCAAGUUUUGACCACUGUUUUCGUUGAUAGUGUUGGCCAGUAUGUGAAAGAAAGUUCCAAAGCAUCAAUGGCUAUUCAACUUGUCCAACUCUCCAACCAUUGAAAUGAAGCCAAAGUAGACAAAGGUGUUCAAAACUCUUCGUCGAGUAGCCACAAGUGUCACGAAAAAGGGGAACCUUUUCUGGGAUGCAAAGCUAUAUUGCUUAGCAUUUGACCACAAACAGCAAAUGCAUUUCUGAAUUUUGAAGUCUAAAUCUUUAUGCUAAUGUGGAUUGGAAGUCUUAAAGACAACUGCCCAUAAUUUUCUGCUUGGUUAAUUUUUGGCAGUUGUAUAAUUUGUUGGACGUUUUAGAUCAUUGAUUUAGUGAAAGGAGAGGGAUAAAAAAAGAAGUUGUGAGGAAAUUGGACUGUUAUUGACAUCUUUUCAUGCACUAAAAUGAGUCCAAGAAUGGUUUUCAUUUCAACUAGAAAAUUGAUAUGAUUGAGAGAUGUUGUCGUCUAAAUUCUUGUGCUUACAAAUUUCUUAUGACACCUACUUAUUCUUUUUUUUUGUUUUUGUCCUCUUGUCUUGUUUUUCUUACGAAGCUACUAUGACACAAAGAAUUAUUAUUUUUCUGUCUUCUUGGGUUUGCUUUCCCCUGCAAGUGCUGUUCCAGCAUAAUCAUAGCUAAAUAUUAAAAAGAAACACUCAAACCCUAAAUAUUAUCUUAGGCUAUAUAUUAAUCAUAAAUUCGAUCAAAUCAGUCCGGACAAAUGGUAAUGUUUUUUUUCAAUCAGAUUCAAAGUUCGAAUUCUGUACUUGACAAUUGAAAGUGGGGAGGGAUGCGGCAAAAAAACGGUUCAGUCUGGUUUUCAAAAUAUUCAUAUGCUCUCAUUACCGUUGAAAUGACAAAGAAAAAGUAAAUGCCCACCAUAAGUACUUGAAUUUGGAAACUUUGAAUACCAUAAAGAAAAUCUUUCUAGAUGCAUUGCGGUCCAAUUGAUAACUAGCACUAUCAAAAAGCCAAAGGCGAAGACCUCAUCUCUUAUUUGCACCGUAGAAGGUGAAAAGGCAAAGAAGAGAACUCAGAAAAAGCAUCAAUGGCAUCUAACCAAGCCGAAUUUUCUCGGACCGAAAGAAGUAGUUCUCAUUCUCAAGUUUCAACUCACGCUAUAAGUUGUCAACACAAUAAUAGUAAAAGCUCAUUUGAGGGAGGGGUGGCCAUUCAACUCUUAUAAAGGACAGGAUUUGUUUGCUGGCAUAAUAGAAAUAUUUUAAAAAGGCAACUAAGAGACAGUCAUCCUCAAGAGUCUAUCUCUAAAGAAUUCUAACCUUCAUGUGUGCAAAUAUGGGGCCUUCGCCCAUGAAAACUUGAUAUGAUGGAUCGUGUGCUUAUGUGUGCUUCUUUGUCGUAACUCUGCAAAUUGAGGAGUUAAUCAUAAUUGGCAUGCACCAAUGGGUGGAAAAAGCAGGAAAAAAAAUUAUAAGGAGGAGAAAACCAUAACUCUAAUGGAUGAGAUUAUUCGUGGUAAUGCACAUCAUGUACAAUAUUCUUACUUCAGAUGAACGGUUUUAGCUAGAAUCCAACCACUUUUAGUGAAACAAAUUUAGAAGGGCAAAAUGAGGCUCUGUGUGAAUCACUCAUUGCGCAGAAGAAAAUUUUUAUUCCAACUAGAUAUGUUUGUAGUCAGUGGCCUUUUCACGUUACAUGUAUCACAGGAAAUGUCAAUCAGACACAAAAAAAAAAUAUUUUAAAUAAUUUUCUAUAAACGGGAUGAUUAUGGACCUUAUUGCCGAGUAAAAUAUGUAGGAAUAUUUGCAAAACAUAAGGUCCUACCUAACGUAUCCUCUCAAGCUCCUCUGAGAAUCACCAGUUUUGUAGGGUUUCAUUCUUAAUUUAUCAGAAGUUGUUCAAGACAUUCUCAAGGAAACUUUGGUUCUUGUAAUCAUAAGCACAAGGGAAAGUGAAAUUAAACUAUUAUUCCAUGUGGUGACAAGCAGCUGCCACUCAAUUAUUCCGUUGUACCCAGAGAUGUCGUCACAAUAACGCCAGUACUGCAACAGUUCGGCUUGGUUUUGUUGAGUUGAUCGAUGCAGCAGACAGCAAACAGCAAUGGCUGCCCUAGAUGGAAAUAAAAUAAUGCACCAUAUAUGGACAUCAUGGAGUAAUAUCGAACAAAUCACUGUACACGGACAUGAUGGAGUAGUAUCGAACAAAUCAUUGACAUGAUCUAGGUGGGGAAGUAGUCUUUCGAUAUAGUAGGUAUUCUUUGAAGGCUUUGUACAAAAAUUUGUCUAAACUAUCAGCCCUGUCUGGAAGGUGCGUUUUUUUGGAGUUUGUCUAAAAUUUUAUUAUAGUUUGCUGUUGAAGUUUUUUAAAAAAUUUUUGAAAUGUGUAAAUUUUUGAAUAUUUUGAAGUGUAUAGUUUAAAAACCUUAAAAAAUUUUUGAAAUUACUGUAACUAAAAUUUUUAAAAAACUUGUAGCAGACAAAUUUGGCAUUUAAAAUUUGGGUUCCAAACAAGGCCAUUGGUUGGGGAUAGCCAAGCACUAGAUAGUUUUAUGAAAACAACAAACUAGUGGUAGAUUAUGAGAGUCUAGAUGUAAGAGGGACAACAAAUGUGAAUGUAAGUAUCCUGAACAAUAAAUAUUUACAGUGUUUUUCCAACAUUGUUAGAAAAAUCCUUUACUUUAAUUGAAAUUUGAUCAUGAAAGUGUCUAGAUAUAAGAGGGGCGAUAAAUGUGGAUAUAAGUAUUCUAAACAAUAAACUACUAGUAAAUUAUGGGUAUUGACUGGUGUUCAUCAAACAUUCAUUAGAGAAAUCCCUUGCAUAAUUAACCUUUGCAUUAUCAGGCUAAAGGUCAUUUAUGAUUCUUUAAUUUGUGGGCAUUUGACACCUUAAGAGAAGUACCCUUAACUUGCUACUAUAAGAACAUUUUGAAUCUUUGAUUCAUUGAUUGAGGUAAACUGAUCCUCAAUAUUUUAGCAAAAGAGAUUUAGGCCUUGUUAUCAACUAAUUUUCAAAAUCUGAUUUUAGAUUCUAAUUUUGAAAAAGUCAUUCUUUUUUUGUGUUCUUAAUUAGUUUUCAUAUCCUGAUUUUAGUUUUUUCAAGUUAAAAAAAAAUAAAAAUCAUAGGCAUCUAUUUUGGUGAUUUUUUUAUUUUGAUUUUUUAAAUUCAACUUUAACACAAUUGGAAACAGUUGAGAACGAGAUUACUUUUCCUUUACCAAUCUUAAACACUCGAUUCAAUUUUUCAGGUUCACGAAAACAAAAGGCUUGCUUGCACACUUUUGCCAAUGAUUGGCCGUGAAAUUGUUGUCCAUCUCAGCACGUUUGCAGUGAGACAUCACAAACUCACAGAAAGAUUCCGUUUGGAUUGCUAUUUUUACAAGUUUUUGUAAAAAAAAUAUCCUGUAACAAUUUGAUAUAAUUAUAUAAGGUAAAAAGAUGAUUAAGAAACGCGUUCACGAAAAAUGCAAAAAAUUUUCUGCGAAAAAUCAUAAUCCAAACAAGAACGGCGAGCAAAACUUUGAGCAGAAAGUUUAAAUUGGAUGACAAAGAAAAACUUGUCUGUUGCAGCUAUAUGCUAAUUAAACAUUAUUAGGGCUUCACGGAUUAAUUGUCUGAUAUGAACGCGAGCAUUUUUAGUAUAACUAAUGGUUCAAUUAGAACACUUUUUCAUGAGGAUAAAAUUGAUCUCACAAUUUGUAGCACUCAAUAGCUUCAUUUUAUAUCGCUGCCUUUUUUUUUUCUCUAUGAAACCAAAACUGCUUCACUCCUACUAAUUUUCUAUAUAAAAUCAAAAUUCUUGUCCUCCAAAAUUAUAAAACAACUUUAAACUACACUUGAAAAUUUUCACAGACAUCCAAUUAUUAAUAACUAGCCACAAAAUGAUUGUAUGAGAGAACUAUGGAGGAAAAAGUGCAAAAAAAAAAAAAGAAAAAUGCUUCCAGCUGGUUAGUGCUUAUGGUUAUAAAAAGAAAAAACUGUCAUUCAACAAGUAGAAACAAAUAAAUGGUAAAAGAUAUAAAAUAAAAUAGAAACAGAUAAAUGGUAAAAAAUAUAUAAAAUGAAAUGGGAAAAAAAAAACUGGACAACCAAGGAAGAGGAAUAUGUAAAUAUACAACUGACAAAAGUUUGCAAGUAGAAGAGUGCGACUACAAAAUUACACAAGGAAGAGUAUGAUAAGUUAAAAAAAGGAAAAAGAAUAUCCAACACUAAGUCCUACAUAUAUACACACUCACCUUAUACAUUAACAAGAAAUUUAUAUAAGGGUAAUCAUAAGAAAACACGCAUAAAGUACAAAAAUAUCGUUUGAUUCGCCUCUAGUCACCAUCACAAGGUAUAAUAUACUUUCGAAACAAUUGUUUUUACAGAUCGUUCGCUAACACAGUUCUCAUAUUAAUAAUAUAAUAUUUAUAUUGAUAGCGAUAUUCGAACACGUAAUUCUUUAUAAUUAUCACGCUACUUUAGAUUGGAUCGUCUGAACGGCUCUUACGUUGAGCCGUCCGCGUGAACCAAUCUUACAGCAGAAACAAUAAAUUUCCUUACACAUAUUAACUAACCCAUUCUGGGCCAUGCAGUUUCCUUAGCAAAAUUCUGAAAAAGUUUCAGCCUACGGUUCCAGAUCGCUCCCGAGAACAUUUUUACUUCUUUUAAAUAAAAAUCUUUGCAUCUUACUAGAAUUCGUACGUUUCAACAAACGCUUUUACAUCUAGAGAGCACUUGCUACAUUUCAUCCAAACUUCUGUAUAAACUUCAAGAUUUUCCAGGAACCAUGAUGGCCCAAAUUUCGAAUUUGAUGAUGCUGAUGUUGUAUGAAAUGAUACAUUGAAAUGACGGCAUUAUUUAAGAGCUUAUUUUCGAGGGAAAUGAAGUUUCAGUUUUAGUUUUUGCAAUUUAUGAAUGCGUCAUCAUCAAUAGGCAUAUCUACACACACACACACAUAUAUAUAUAUAUCUAUAUAUAUAUAACAUAGCUAUAAACUUCAGGAGUAAAAUAAAUAUAUCUAUAUCAGGAUUGAGGUAUAGAUCCACAAAACACAAUAAUGUGUUUAAGAACUGAAAAACUUGAAUUCUAAUUUAGGGGCUACAAUAAACUUUUAGAAAUGAGGAUUGUGAAGAAAAAACUUUACCACAUGCACCGAUUAUUAGUCCAGAAUCUCUUCAAAGAAAUCGAGCUUUUAGGAACUUCUGGUCGUAUUCGAUUUCACUCGACCAUUUGAAGCUUUUCAUGUUUCACAAAGUGAGACUUGAUCGACCUCCCAUAUUCCAAACCAAGGGCUCUUUUAUCAGCCCAUAGAAUUCAUAAAGGACCACAUUCAAGAAAAUCAAGAUCUCGUAAUCAUACUUUUUAGAAAUUGUGAUCUCCAAUUUUUCUCAUACAGGAAGCAGCCUAGAUUUAAUUUGAAGCAUCAAAGAAGCUUGGAAAGAUGGAGAAGAAAAAGAACUGAUGUGGCAUCAUUUGAGAGGCUGGAGUACAAUCAAUAAGUGGAGAGUAGAGAAGAAGAAUGGAAAACAAGAAACGUUGAAAAUGACAUGGUAAAUAUUUUGAAGAUGAAUGGUGGCAAUUUUCAGCUGAAUAGAAAUAUGGUCGACGUACAUAAAUUGACGUUUGUAUGUGGAAAAUCGCUGAAAUAAGUGGGAUCCAAAUGCUUCCACGCAACGCCUUUGGUAAGACAAGUUUUGUUUGAUUUUUUCAAUUGCUGGGAUAAGUGUGAACUCAAUGAUGCCAAACGCAGGGAGAAAUAGUAAACAAUAUGAUUAGCUUGUAAUUAAAUCAUUGAUGGUUUCUUUUCAAUGUUGUCGUUCAAGAAUUCUAUUGGAGAGUGUGAAAGCAUGGGGGACUAGAGAAUCUAAUAUCAAGGAAUAACAUCUGUUGAUCAUAGGAUGAAAAUGCUGGGUAACUUCUUUUAACAAAAACCUUUGAAUGUUUGUUGCAAACAUCAGUCAUGGUACUAGAUCCUGUGCUGCAUGAAAGGUGCCGUUUCUUGAUGAGAAACGUUAAUUGGCUGCUGCUAGAGGCGUGUGUGUGGCAAUCAUGAUCCAAGAAUAAGUUCUAAGAAUUUGAGAUCAAUCAAAGGGAAAUUCUUUCAAGUAGUCGCAAUUCAAUCAAUUAAUUCGCAAAGCCGCCUGCAUCCAGCAGCAGACUUGCCUCUUUUUCUACAAGAAGCAAGACCAAAAUACCCUCGAUUUUAUGAUCCCUUGCACUCAAGAACUAAUUUCUGAUCUAACCAUCAAAUUGAAAAGUGAAGCGAAAAAGUCUAACAAAGUAGUUCUGUGAUCUCUUUCAGGUAAAUAUCUAGCACAAUCAAUGAGAAAGAGUCCUGUCUAGGGAAGUAAUUACAACUUCUUCCUAACGAAAAGCAACAGGGCUAGUUAAGGUCAAAAUGCCUGUUGGCUGCUAGAAAGGUUGUGUUGGCCACACUUGCAGUAGCAGGAAUAGUAGUAUAAUUGAUCGUGCGUUAUUAAUUGCUUAUCGCGGUUUAAUUGACCAAACAAAUUUCUGAUUUUGUUCUUAGGAAGUGUGAAGUUUGACAACAAUGCACGUUAUUGGACCGCAGCUACAUGCGAUAACUUAAAUAAAAAGUAAAAACACCAUAGAGCAGGUGACCACGAACUAUUUGUUCCUUAUCGACAAAAACUUGUUUUAAGAUUGUACAUUAAAAAUUACUUUGACCUCAAAUCCCAAGAAAACUACAUAUUCCUAAGAAAUGAUCCAACAAGGCAAACCCUAGUUUUCAUUAAAAAGAUAGUAGUUACUAGGCAAAAGAACAAAUUGUAAGUACUAAAGUGACCAAUGGAACAACAAAGAAAAGUUAACCAUUCUUACAUCAACUGCUAAUAAACAAAGUUCUUAUAUUUCCUACCCUACCCCCCCCCCCACCCCUUUCCCCUCCCAGAAAAAUUAGUGAAGCAUGUCUCAUCCCUCCCGCCCCCGUCAUCAAAGGGUCCCCACAAAUGCCAAUAAAUAGCGACCCCCGGGAAGGGAAUACAUCGUUCCCAAGUGAGUGUGUGUUGUGUGAAAUUCAACAAUAGUUAGUAAACAAGUUCUUCUCAAGUUGUUUUAGCACAUUCCAUAGGAGAGAGACAUCAGACUUUUACUUCCCUAACCUCAUAGUGUCGACAUGGUUUGCCAGAAAGAUGCUUUGGUGCAGAAAGUCUGCGAUUUCUAUGAGAAGAUCUCAAGCCUUGAGAGCCUCAAGCCCUCCAAAGAUGUCGACAUGCUGCUUACACAGCUCGUUCUCACGUGCAUCCCACCAAAUCCAAUUGAUGUAACAAAGCUGUGCAAAAGAGUUCAAGAAAUGAGGUCCAAGCUCAUUACACUUUGUGGAGAAGCUGAAGGGCAUCUAGAGAGCCACUAUUCGACAAUCCUAGGUUCCUUUGACAACCCUCUUGACCAUCUCAACAUCUUCCCAUACUUUAAUAAUUACCUUAAACUCGGCCGGCUGGAAUUCAACAUCCUCAGCCAGCACCUGACCAAUAUCAAAGUCCCAAGUCGAAUUGCAUUCGUGGGCUCAGGUCCCCUGCCUCUUACUUCAAUUGUCUUGGCUUCUUAUCACCUGACUACUACUUCCUUUCACAACUAUGAUAUUGACCCUUCCGCCAAUUCCAUGGCGUCCCGCCUCCUUGCAUCUGAUCCUGACUUGUCCAAACGAAUGUUUUUCCACACCAAAGAUGUUAUGGAUGUUACAAGCAGUGAGUUGAAGGAGUACGACGUUGUGUUUUUGGCAGCCCUGGUGGGCAUGGACAAGGAGGAAAAAGUUCGAGUUAUCGAUCAUUUGGCCAAGAACAUGGCUCCAGGGGCAAUCUUGAUGCUCAGAAGCGCUCACGGAGCAAGAGCUUUUCUCUAUCCAAUUGUUGAGCCUCGCGACCUUCAAGGUUUUGAGGUACUCUCAGUUUUUCAUCCCACGGAUGAGGUGAUUAAUUCGGUCGUUAUUGCCCGGAAGCUUUCAGUUGGAAUGCCUGUUCAGUCACUGGAUCAGGGGCUUGGAGCUCAUGUGAUGUUGCCAUGCAAAUGUGCUGAGAUUCCAGCCUUCAAUCCCCUUAAUAAAAUGAACAUGAUUGAAGAAUUUGCAGCUGAGGAUCGUCUUCUGUGAAUUGUCUCUGAUCUCACUUUCUCCUAAAAGAUAUAUUCUGGCUAUGCAGUCCCUUGAUGGAAUUGCUUUUGUUGCUUUUGGCCUUUUCUAUGUCUCUCCCUAACUGUUUGAUCCACUUCAAACAAUGUGCCCAUUUGUGCCCUUAUGUAGUGAUUUCUUGAAAUAACAGGAGUAUUACCCCUUGUUUCAAAAAUUUGUACUAGUACUAUAUAGCUAUAUGUGUACCUCUUCUCUAGUAAUCUAUGAAUUCAAUAAUGUUUAUGCGGUUGCAAGUCCAUGAUUGCUGCCCCAUUCCCUCUAUGACAUGCUUUUGUUUUUUAGCCCAAUUUUUAAUUUGUUGUUAUAUCGGAUCAUACAAGAAAAAGGGGACAAUGAGAGUUGAAUUUGCACAGAUGUACUCAAUGAUGGUGGGUGACCAUUAUUCCAAUCAAGAUUGCAUCUACCACAAGGAAAGUCCAAGCUUGCGCGAUUCUCAUUCUGGUAUUACGGCUAUGAAAAGAAGGUAACAGAAGAUGACUUAAUUUGCUAUAUUGAUAGCCACACAUCUAGAUGGUAGCAAGAAUAUGACAUCAACUCUUUUUUUCUCUUGUUUUCUGUGCUUUUACUUCGUUGCAAUAAUUGAUGGAUUGAAAUAUGACAAGCCCCAUGUCCCAGAAUGGUCGGAUUAGCUAUUUUUGGGAUGUUUUUAAAAAAUUUUAUUGUAAUUGUAUAUAUGAAAAAAUUUAUUAUAAAUGUUUUUGGGAGUGUUUUUGAAGAUUUUUCGGAGGAUUUUUUUGAAUGUAUUUUAAAGUAUUUUUAGAAUUUAUAACUUUUUUGGAAUAUUUUUUAAAAAGUUUACACCACUCACUUCCGCCAUCCACCGCCACUACCCCUUUCUCCUCUCUACUUUCUUUCCUCUCCCUCCUUCUCCUCCCUCCUCUCCCUCCUUCCACCGGCCUCCCUUUCCUGCCCCUCAGAUCUCCCUCACUAGUUCUAGUUGUGGCCAGAAACCACAACUAGUCACAGCUUUUGGUCAUGACCCUUCUAGUCGUGGCUAACAAAGGGGUAUCAGGGGCGAGGGAAGGGAAGGGAUGGGAUGGCGAGGAAGGGAAGGAAGGAGAGAUAAAGGAGAUGAGAGAGAAGAAAGAAGGAGGGGUAAGAGGAGGGAGGAAGGAGAAGGAGAGACGAGGGAGGGAAGGAUGGUGGCGAUGGUGGAGGAGGGACAGUGGCAGUAAAGGGUGAUGGGUGGUGAUUGUGGAUAAUGUAUGGAAGAAGAGAAGUAAGAGAUUUAUUUUUUUGUGUUAUUUUUAGGUAUAUUUGAGAUGUAUUGUGUUUUUGUAGUUAUUUUUAAGUUGUUUUUGAAGUUUAUUAAUAAAUUUGAAAGAUAAAAUAGUUUUUUAAAAAUCCCUUAAAUUCAAAUAGACCCCACAUUAUUUCGACUAUUUAUGCUUCCAUUUGUGCCACCAUCAAUCAGUCAAUCAAAUGCAACAGCAGAUAUUAUCAACUCUAAUUUUGCACUUUUGUCUUCAAGUAAUUAACUUCUCUAGAUGAUGCAAGCAUUUGAGUUUUGUUCAUUUUACUUUUUGACUUGUGAAUCACCAAGGAUGCCGAUCCAGAAGCAAUAGUAGAUAUGGCUACUCUAUUCUUGUUGUGCCUUGAAGUAACUUCUCU
rnacentral:lncRNA from 1 species